GGGUCAGCAGGGAAAGUUGGCCCAUCACCAGGUAGAGGGAGACCUCAGCCCCUUGUCCUCAGGGAAAGAACCCAUUUUGUGAAGCUCCCUACUGCAGAGGACUGGCUGGUGCCAGAACUGGGGUGCAGAAGGAUAAAUAGGGCCUAAAAAGACGGCAGGAACCUGCCUCCUCCCUGGCAUCAGGUCUUCUUGCUUACCUUUCUUGUGGACACACAGCAGUGAGGGAGGACAGAAGAAGGCAGAACUCCUGACCCUCCUAGGAGCAAGAUCUAGACAUAGAAAUUGCUUCUGCUCUCCAGGCAGGCUGCCAGCCCAGUUCCAAGAUUUCCCAGCUGCUGCCGUUCAGACUUGCUUCAGCAUUUGUCAGGGAUGAGUGACUUCGGAGUCUGGGUCCUUGCCAAACCACCCUAGGCAGCUCAUUGCACUAAUCCAAAACUGUAAUUGGGAGGUAGGAGGGGGCAGUGGGAGAACGUCUUAUCCCCACCACAGCCCUGAGUUUUUGUUAACUUAGGAUUAUAAGAAUAAUGAACAAACUCAGAAGCCUGUCUCCUUUAUUUAGUUAGUUUUGGGGCUGUAGCUAGCAAUCCAUUAUUGUCUGUGCGAUGUGUUCCCAGUCCAGCCUCUUAUCAGAGGUGUUUAGCUAUGCAGUGCACAUAAGGAUGCCCAUCGGUAUUGAUAUAUAGAUUCCCAGCACAUCCAUUGUGUUUUACAUGCCUUGCAAUUAGCUUUUGCUUUAUCUACUGUGUGCCUACCUCGCUGUACGUGUGCCAGGAAAAAGAAGAGUCACACUGGGAGGGGAGGACUAGUAGGGCUGAAGAAUUACUGAGGGAAAGUGGAAAGCAAUUUGCAAUCUGAUAAAAGCAAUGUAGGGCCAGAUCCUGCCAAAUGCUGAUGCUGUGGGGAGCAGCUGUACCUCUGCAAUACCCGGGAUGAAGCCUGCUGUAGUGAAGCAAUACUGGGUGGAAAGCAAUAUAAGGUGGAAAGAUGUGGUGUGCAGCUUGGAGCAAUACUGCAAACCUCAUGAAGCAGUGCUGGCAUGCUACAGCGAUCAGAGGGCUAGCAGAAGGAAAGAGACAUGAAAAAAAAAAAUGGAGAAGACAUGGAAUAUAUUCUGAUGCUCUAAAACACUGUGAAUUUAGUCCACAGCAGGUUGCAUCAGAGGAGGCAAAUAGCUCAGCCUGAUCCAAGGGGUCACUACCAGCUCCUUCACAGUCACUGCAGAUUUUUUCUGCAGACUGUACUCCCUCCUCCAGCCAUGAGAGCACCAGGUUUCCCUUACAUGGGUCACUUAUUGUAGCUGUGGGUCCUUAGGGACUCUGCUAGCAGGUCUUCCAAGUGACUCCAGCCUCUCAUGCUGGGGUCAGCUUGCUGUUUUCUUGCUUCUAUGCAGGAGCACCUGGAAGAGGCAUGGAUACAGGCAGGCAGUGUCUGGGCACAUGGCUCCUCUCAAUCCAGGCCCUUCCUUAUAUAGUGUCGCAUGCACACUGUGCUCAGUGGGAUGAACUAGAUAUCACUAAAAAAAUCCAGGCUGUGCUUAUGAUUGGUACUGUCAGAUUCAGGUUGCAGUUUCACAGGCAUAGUCCAAUGCACGACAUUUAUCCAAGAGUCUACCACCAGAUUCUUACUGAGGUAUGAAACCCAGUGGACUCCAAGGAGUUUGAUGUCAGUUGAGGAUCUGGCUGGCAGCCUAGCCUCUGCUAAGAGAUCCACCCUGCGAUCUGUACUGGAAUGCUCAGAUUGCUUCUGGGUGUAACACUUGCUCAUUUAAAUCUGGCUUAAGACUCUUUGUGAUGCACUGAAGUCCUGGAAGAGAAGUGGGUUGUAUUUUGAAGAUAAUUAAGGCUUGCUCCAAAGCCUCUGUCAAUUAUGCUUAGCGAUAAAUACAUUGUGGAUGGUGUUGUUUGAACAUUUCUGCUCUCCUCUUUUCUCCCAGGUGAUUAGCACAAGGGACCUGGAAAGGUUCAGGGCAUGGUGCUGGGAGAAUCCCCCUGCAACGCAGUGGCUCGUAACAUCAGCCUCCCUCUGCUUUGUGCACCAUGCAGUCAUUCACAUGUUGUAAAGCAAGGAUAUAUCAGCAGGCCAGGAGGGAGCAUCUCACUUUACCUUCACUCUUUCUGAAAAAAUUCCAGGCAGGGGAAAAACAAUUUCACUGCCUCUGUAAUGUUGCUUUCACUUGGUGUCUAAAAAACAAUACUUCUCCUGUGCAAAAAUCCACUUUUUUGCCCAAAAUACAUUUUUAGAAUGUGCCAGACUUGUUCUCAGCUGUGGUGCUGACCCUGAUAUGCUUGUGCUGGCAUUGCUUGCAAUUGCUUCUGGUUGGUGUAGGGGUGACAAAGAGGAGACAGUGGGCCUCCACAGUUUUCCUGAAGUUCCCAUGUAAGCAGAGUAAGGUGACCUUCUACUGACGAAAUACAGCCCUUUUACCUUUUUACCUUCAGCAGACAGUUGGCAGACACAGCUGUUCUGCCUUUAGGUCCAGCUGCCACAUACCCUUAGAGAGGAGGAGGAGAGAGAGACUGGAGGGAAUAGGGGAAGGGGUAAGUACAGCUGAAAGGAGUGCUGCUACAUCUAUUUAUUUUUUUUUUUUCCACUGCCAUAGGCGUGUGCUGUUUCUGUGCAUCUUUUAAUUUGUGCCAGGGUGAGAGAGCUGUAACUGACUCCAUCUGGCCCUCUCCCUUUAAUUACCUCACUGCCACAGUUUUUCAUUUGCUAUUUGUUACUGGUCCACACCAUUUGCAACAGUGAACACUAUUGUAAGCAGUGGCUUCCGUUGCACAUAGGAAACAAGUGAUUAGUACACAUGGGUGGAAGGGUUGAGUGGCCAAUGCAUGAAAAGUGGUGGAAAGGGUUGUGAGGACAGUUUGGAAAAGGUGUUGGGAAGUCAGUGAGGAUAUGCAGGGGGAGAUUGCCAACUGCUGCUGCAGUGUCUCAGUAAAUUAUUCAACUAAUAAAGACUCAGUUCAAUUU